rnacentral:rRNA from 5 species
AUGACCUCGGAUCAGGUAGGGAUACCCGCUGAACUUAAGCAUAUCAAUAAGCGGAGGAAAAGAAACCAACAGGGAUUACCUCAGUAACGGCGAGUGAAGCG